UUCCAGCUGAAGUGUUCCAAAUAGGACUAAACGUACGUCCUGAAU
rfam:Schistosoma rodhaini strain Burundi genome assembly, scaffold: SROB_scaffold0004895